rnacentral:rRNA from 10 species
GGUUAAGCGACUAAGCGUACACGGUGGAUGCCUAGGCAGUCAGAGGCGAUGAAGGGCGUGCUAAUCUGCGAAAAGCGUCGGUAAGCUGAUAUGAAGCGUUAUAACCGACGAUACCCGAAUGGGGAAACCCAGUGCAAUACGUUGCACUAUCGUUAGAUGAAUACAUAGUCUAACGAGGCGAACCGGGGGAACUGAAACAUCUAAGUACCCCGAGGAAAAGAAAUCAACCGAGAUUCCCCCAGUAGCGGCGAGCGAACGGGGAGGAGCCCAGAGUCUGAAUCAGUUUGUGUGUUAGUGGAAGCGUCUGGAAAGUCGCACGGUACAGGGUGAUAGUCCCGUACACCAAAAUGCACAGGCUGUGAACUCGAUGAGUAGGGCGGGACACGUGACAUCCUGUCUGAAUAUGGGGGGACCAUCCUCCAAGGCUAAAUACUCCUGACUGACCGAUAGUGAACCAGUACCGUGAGGGAAAGGCGAAAAGAACCCCGGCGAGGGGAGUGAAAUAGAACCUGAAACCGUGUACGUACAAGCAGUGGGAGCACCUUCGUGGUGUGACUGCGUACCUUUUGUAUAAUGGGUCAGCGACUUAUAUUUUGUAGCAAGGUUAACCGAAUAGGGGAGCCGUAGGGAAACCGAGUCUUAACUGGGCGUCUAGUUGCAAGGUAUAGACCCGAAACCCGGUGAUCUAGCCAUGGGCAGGUUGAAGGUUGGGUAACACUAACUGGAGGACCGAACCGACUAAUGUUGAAAAAUUAGCGGAUGACUUGUGGCUGGGGGUGAAAGGCCAAUCAAACCGGGAGAUAGCUGGUUCUCCCCGAAAGCUAUUUAGGUAGCGCCUCGUGAACUCAUCUUCGGGGGUAGAGCACUGUUUCGGCUAGGGGGCCAUCCCGGCUUACCAAACCGAUGCAAACUCCGAAUACCGAAGAAUGUUAUCACGGGAGACACACGGCGGGUGCUAACGUCCGUCGUGAAGAGGGAAACAACCCAGACCGCCAGCUAAGGUCCCAAAGUCAUGGUUAAGUGGGAAACGAUGUGGGAAGGCACAGACAGCCAGGAUGUUGGCUUAGAAGCAGCCAUCAUUUAAAGAAAGCGUAAUAGCUCACUGGUCGAGUCGGCCUGCGCGGAAGAUGUAACGGGGCUAAACCAUGCACCGAAGCUGCGGCAGCGACGUUUAGGCGUUGUUGGGUAGGGGAGCGUUCUGUAAGCCGUUGAAGGUGACCUGUGAGGGUUGCUGGAGGUAUCAGAAGUGCGAAUGCUGACAUAAGUAACGAUAAUGCGGGUGAAAAACCCGCACGCCGGAAGACCAAGGGUUCCUGUCCAACGUUAAUCGGGGCAGGGUGAGUCGACCCCUAAGGCGAGGCUGAAAAGCGUAGUCGAUGGGAAACAGGUUAAUAUUCCUGUACUUGGUGUUACUGCGAAGGGGGGACGGAGAAGGCUAGGCUGGCCGGGCGACGGUUGUCCCGGUUUAAGCGUGUAGGGGGAGUGACCAGGUAAAUCCGGUUGCUUAUCAACCCUGAGGCGUGAUGACGAUGCACCACGGUGCAGAAGCAGUUGAUGCCAUGCUUCCAGGAAAAGCCUCUAAGCAUCAGGUAACAUUAAAUCGUACCCCAAACCGACACAGGUGGUCAGGUAGAGAAUACUCAGGCGCUUGAGAGAACUCGGGUGAAGGAACUAGGCAAAAUGGUGCCGUAACUUCGGGAGAAGGCACGCUGGCGUUAGGUGAAAGGACUAGCUCCUGGAGCUGAAGCCAGUCGCAGAUACCAGCUGGCUGCAACUGUUUAAUAAAAACACAGCACUGUGCAAACACGAAAGUGGACGUAUACGGUGUGACGCCUGCCCGGUGCUGGAAGGUUAAUUGAUGGGGUCAGCCGCAAGGCGAAGCUCUUGAUCGAAGCCCCAGUAAACGGCGGCCGUAACUAUAACGGUCCUAAGGUAGCGAAAUUCCUUGUCGGGUAAGUUCCGACCUGCACGAAUGGCGUAAUGAUGGCCAGGCUGUCUCCACCCGAGACUCAGUGAAAUUGAACUCGCUGUGAAGAUGCAGUGUACCCGCGGCAAGACGGAAAGACCCCGUGAACCUUUACUAUAGCUUGACACUGAACAUUGAGCCUUGAUGUGUAGGAUAGGUGGGAGGCCUUGAAGUGUGGACGCCAGUCUGCAUGGAGCCAACCUUGAAAUACCACCCUUUAAUGUUUGAUGUUCUAACUCGGCCCCAUGAUCUGGGGUGAGGACAGUGUCUGGUGGGUAGUUUGACUGGGGCGGUCUCCUCCCAAAGAGUAACGGAGGAGCACGAAGGUUAGCUAAUCACGGUCGGACAUCGUGAGGUUAGUGCAAAGGCAUAAGCUAGCUUGACUGCGAGAGUGACGGCUCGAGCAGGUACGAAAGUAGGUCUUAGUGAUCCGGUGGUUCUGAAUGGAAGGGCCAUCGCUCAACGGAUAAAAGGUACUCCGGGGAUAACAGGCUGAUACCGCCCAAGAGUUCAUAUCGACGGCGGUGUUUGGCACCUCGAUGUCGGCUCAUCACAUCCUGGGGCUGAAGUAGGUCCCAAGGGUAUGGCUGUUCGCCAUUUAAAGUGGUACGCGAGCUGGGUUUAGAACGUCGUGAGACAGUUCGGUCCCUAUCUGCCGUGGGCGUUGGAAGAUUGAGAGGGGCUGCUCCUAGUACGAGAGGACCGGAGUGGACGAAUCACUGGUGUUCGGGUUGUCAUGCCAAUGGCAUUGCCCGGUAGCUAAAUUCGGAAGAGAUAACCGCUGAAAGCAUCUAAGCGGGAAACUUGCCUCGAGAUGAGUCUUCCCUGGGGCUUAAAGCCCCCUGAAGGAACGUUAAAGACUAUGACGUUGAUAGGCUGGGUGUGUAAGUGCAGCGAUGUAUUGAGCUAACCAGUACUAAUGAUCCGUGAGGCUUAACCUU